rnacentral:misc_RNA from 1 species
AGCAGCCGCGGUAAUUCCAGCUCCAAUAGCGUAUAUUAAAGUUGUUGCAGUUAAAAGCUCGUAGUUGAAUUUCGGGAUCAAUUAGUCGGUCGUGCCUCUGGUACGUACUGGUUUUAUUGGUUCCUCCCUUCUGACGAAACAUGAUGUCAUUAAUUUGGUGUCGUGGAGAAUCAGGACUGUUACCUUGAAAAAUUAGAGUGUUUAUAGCAGGCUAACGCUUGAAUACAUUAGCAUGGAAUAAUGAAAUAGGACGUUCGACCCUAUUUUGUUGGUUUCUAGGAUCGACGUAAUGAUUAAUAGGGAUAGUUGGGGGCAUUAGUAUUCAAUUGUCAGAGGUGAAAUUCUUGGAUUUAUUGAAGACUAACUACUGCGAAAGCAUUUGCCAAGGAUGUUUUCAUUAAUCAAGAACGAAAGUUAGGGAUCGAAGACGAUCAGAUACCGUCGUAGUCUUAACCAUAAACUAUAGCUGACUAGGGAUCGGGAUGUAUGUUUUAAAUUUUUAAUUGUACUCUAUUCGGGC